AUUGAACGCUGGCGGCAGGCCUAACACAUGCAAGUCGAGCGGAUGAAGGGAGCUUGCUCCUGGAUUCAGCGGCGGACGGGUGAGUAAUGCCUAGGAAUCUGCUUGGUAGUGGGGGAUAACGUCCGGAAACGGGCGCUAAUACCGCAUACGACCUGAGGGAGAAAGUGGGGGAUCUUCGGACCUCACGCUAUCAGAUGAGCCUAGGUCGGAUUAGCUAGUUGGUGGGGUAAAGGCCUACCAAGGCGACGAUCCGUAACUGGUCUGAGAGGAUGAUCAGUCACACUAGAACUUGGACGCGGUCCAGACUCCUACGGGAGGCAGCAGUGGGGAAUAUUGGACAAUGGGCGAAAACCUGAUCCAGCCAUGCCGCGUGUGUGAAGAAGGUCUUCGGAUUGUAAAGCACUUUAAGUUGGGAGGAAGGGCAGUAAGUUAAUACCUUGCUGGUUUGACGUUACCAACAGAAUAAGCACCGGCUAACUUCGUG
rnacentral:rRNA from 1 species